rnacentral:misc_RNA from 1 species
UUACUGAGUUUACGCUCUACAACCCUUUGUGAACAUACCUAUAACUGUUGCUUCGGCGGGUAGGGUCUCCGUGACCCUCCCGGCCUCCCGCCCCCGGGCGGGUCGGCGCCCGCCGGAGGAUAACCAAACUCUGAUUUAACGACGUUUCUUCUGAGUGGUACAAGCAAAUAAUCAAAACUUUUAACAACGGAUCUCUUGGUUCUGGCAUCGAUGAAGAACGCAGCGAAAUGCGAUAAGUAAUGUGAAUUGCAGAAAUUCAGUGAAUCAUCGAAUCUUUGAACGCACAUUGCGCCCGCCAGCAUUCUGGCGGGCAUGCCUGUUCGAGCGUCAUUUCAACCCUCAAGCUCUGCUUGGUGUUGGGGCCCUACAGCUGAUGUAGGCCCUCAAAGGUAGUGGCGGACCCUCCCGGAGCCUCCUUUGCGUAGUAACUUUACGUCUCGCACUGGGAUCCGGAGGGACUCUUGCCGUAAAACCCCCAAUUUUCCAAAGGUUGACCUCGGAUCAGGUAGGAAUACCCGCUGAACUUAAGCAUAUCAAUAAGCGGAGGAAAAGAAACCAACAGGGAUUGCCUCAGUAACGGCGAGUGAAGCGGCAACAGCUCAAAUUUGAAAUCUGGCCCUAGGCCCGAGUUGUAAUUUGCAGAGGAUGCUUUUGGUGCGGUGCCUUCCAAGUUCCCUAGAACGGGACGCCAGAGAGGGUGAGAGCCCCGUACAGUUGGACACCAAGCCUUUGUAAAGCUCCUUCGACGAGUCGAGUAGUUUGGGAAUGCUGCUCAAAAUGGGAGGUAUAUUUCUUCUAAAGCUAAAUACCGGCCAGAGACCGAUAGCGCACAAGUAGAGUGAUCGAAAGAUGAAAAGCACUUUGAAAAGAGGGUUAAACAGCACGUGAAAUUGUUAAAAGGGAAGCGCUUGUGACCAGACUUGCGUCCGGUGAAUCACCCAGCUCUCGCGGCUGGGGCACUUCGCCGGCUCAGGCCAGCAUCAGCUCGCUGUCGGGGACAAAAGCUUCAGGAACGUAGCUCUCUUCGGGGAGUGUUAUAGCCUGUUGCAUAAUACCCUUCGGCGGGCUGA